ACAAGCGAACAAGUGCACAUGGUGGAUGCCUUGGCGAUUACAGGCGAAGAAGGACGUGGAAGCCUGCGAAAAGCCACGGGGAGUCGGCAAACAGACCUUGAUCCGUGGAUGUCCGAAUGGGGAAACCCGGUGCGUAAGCAUCACCCCGCGCUGAACACAUAGGCGUGAGGGGGCGAACCCGGCGAACUGAAACAUCUAAGUAGCCGGAGGAAAAGAAAUCAACCGAGAUGCCCGGAGUAGCGGCGAGCGGAACGGGCGCAGCCAGCAGGAGAUAGUGGAGCGAGACAGGAGAACAUCCUGGAAAGGAUGGCGGCACAGGGUGACAGCCCCGUAUCCGAAGUCCGCUCUACAGGACCAGGCCUGCGGGAAGUAGGGCGGGACACGAGGAAUCCUGCCUGAAGAUGGGGGGACCAUCCUCCAAGGCUAAAUACUCGUAAUCGACCGAUAGUGGACCAGUACCGUGAGGGAAAGGCGAAAAGAACCCCGGGAGGGGAGUGAAACAGAACCUGAAACCGUGUGCAUACAAACAGUGGGAGCCCUGCGGGGUGACCGCGUACCUUUUGUAUAAUGGGUCAGCGACUUACAUUCAGUGGCGAGGUUAACCGCAUAGGGGAGCCGGAGGGAAACCGAGUCCGAACAGGGCGCCAGUCGCUGGGUGUAGACCCGAAACCAGGUGAUCUAUCCAUGGCCAGGAUGAAGGUGCGGUAACACGCACUGGAGGUCCCAACCCACCGGCGUUGAAAAGCCGGGGGAUGAGCUGUGGAUAGGGGUGAAAGGCUAAACAAACCUGGAGAUAGCUGGUUCUCUCCGAAAGCUAUUUAGGUAGCGCCUCGCGCAUGACCGCCAGGGGUAGAGCACUGUUAUGGCUAGGGGGCCACCGCGGCUUACCAAACCAUUGCAAACUCCGAAUACUGGCGAGUCCGAGCGCGGGAGACAGUCACCGGGUGCUAACGUCCGGCGACAAGAGGGAAACAACCCAGACCGCCAGCUAAGGUCCCCAAGGCCGGCUAAGUGGAAAACGAAGUGGGAAGGCCAAGACAGUCAGGAGGUUGGCUUAGAAGCAGCCAUCCUUCAAAGAAAGCGUAAUAGCUCACUGAUCGAGUCGUCCUGCGCGGAAGAUGUAACGGGGCUAAGCCGGCCACCGAAGCUGCGGAUAUCAGAAAUGAUAUGGUAGGAGAGCGUUCCGUAAGCCUGCGAAGGUGCACCGUGAGGUGUGCUGGAGGUAUCGGAAGUGCGGAUGCUGACAUGAGUAGCGAUAAUGGGGGUGAAAGGCCCCCACGCCGAAAGCCCAAGGUUUCCUGUCCAACGUUCAUCGGGGCAGGGUGAGUCGGCCCCUAAGGCAAGGCAGAGAUGCGUAGCUGAUGGGAAGCGGGUCAAGAUUCCCGCACCGCCGCUGGAUGCGACGGGGGGACGGAUUGCGGAAGGCAGGCCGGGUGUUGGAAGUCCCGGUUGCCCGUCUGAAGGAGGACGCCAGGCAAAUCCGGCGUCAUGAUCCAAGGGACGGGGACGAGGAACCCACGGGUUCCGGAGCUGUCGGAAGGAGUCCCAGGAAAAGCCCCUAAGCUUCAGUCCAGAGGUGACCGUACCGCAGACCGACACAGGUGGGCGAGAUGAGUAUUCUAAGGCGCUUGGGAGAACACGGGAGAAGGAACUCGGCAAAAUGGUACCGUAACUUCGGGAGAAGGUACGCCCCUGUAGCGUGGAGCGCCUGCGCGCCGAGCGCGAGGGGGCCGCAGUGAAACGGUGGCUGCGACUGUUUAAUAAAAACACAGCACUCUGCAAACAUGAAAGUGGACGUAUAGGGUGUGACGCCUGCCCGGUGCCGGAAGAUUAAACGAUGGUGUGAGAGCGCCUGACUGAAGUCCCGGUAAACGGCGGCCGUAACUAUAACGGUCCUAAGGUAGCGAAAUUCCUUGUCGGGUAAGUUCCGACCUGCACGAAUGGCGUAACGAU
rnacentral:rRNA from 1 species